ACGUCACCCACAAACGGUGUAGCUCAGGGAAUGAGUCGGCUGCACUAAACCCAAAAGCAAAAUAAUCAUGUUCACCCUAUAAAAGAGUGAUCUGCGGCUGCCUCCAUUUACACAGGCGUUAUCUGGAGGAGUAACCCGGGAGCUGCAAUGGGACGGGCUUUGGGAUAAGGGUGUCGCUGGAGCGUUGGGAAAGGCUACGAGAGAGUGACUGGAACAUCGCCGUGGUUGGGACGCAUCCCUGGGGAAGGGGCAGAGAUUGUUGCCACAAGACUGGGAGGAGCGGCCCGUGGGACGGGGACGAAGGCGCAGCCCCCUGCCAGGAGAAAACUCCUGCUGAUGGACCAGAGCAGGGGACAGGGGAGGCAGAGCCCAUGAACCUGUCUUUAUACAGGGGGUGCCAGAGAUACCGGGGUACUCUUACUAUAAGCAGUCUGAUGUGCAUAAUCCAUGAAUCCCAGCGUUAAGUGGGAUCUCUGCUGCGUUUCAAGAAUGCAUUAAUUAUACUCCAGGGGUGAGGUAAUUGGGUGGUGAACUGGUCUUAGAUAAUGGAAAAUAAAACAUUUAACGGGAUUUAAAAAUUUGUAAUGCAAGACUGGGUACAUUUCUGUAGAUUAAAUCCUUUCAGGAGUUUUUAAGCACAGAUUCCCCCACCCCCCCUUAACUGUCAACACACUUCUGAGCAAACGCGCCUUCACGUUAGAAUGAGGAUUAAUGGGGAGAUAAAAGCUCGGAGCAGAUUCUUGCCCAGCGUGAACUCACACUUUUAGGAUGGAGGAUGGCUCUGCCUGUUCAAAUAGCUGUCUCUCUGCUGAUGCUGAGAAUGACAGCUUUUGGUGCUGACGACGUACGUGACCUGAGCGGGGUCCCCACAUGAAUUCCAUGUCAACCUAUCAACAGCAUUUCUUGCCUUGGUCAGAAUCGAAGUUCUUCAACAAGUUUAGAGAACAACAGGCAAACCCCUAAUGUCCUGUUAAGAAAGAGGGAAAAAGAGCAACAGACCGAUUAGCGGACAAAAAAAAGUAACUAUUUCAGAAUAAAUACAAACAAAUUAGACUGGAGAAGUCUUUUUGAGUAUUAGCAGUAUUUACAAAAUACGAUUUUACUGAAGUUAAAGGUGAUGAGUUAUACAAACCCAUGUUGAGAUACCCAUACAAACCUGCAGAAACUGCAAAGGUUACACAUUCUGGAUGUUGAUUUACUUUAUUAAUUUGGCCUGAUCAUUCAAAACCUUAAGCAUUCAAAGGUAGUCAACAGUUUUGGAAGGCAAUGCUCAUAUGGACGUUAUUGCCGGCAGAUUAGUGACUGGGUCCGUACACUCUGCAGCAGCCACGUCCUCAGGGCAGCCGUGCAGAAGACAGCAAUGCAGAGCUCGUGUUAGGAAAUGCUCAAACUCACCUCCGGCAGAAUUUUUUCUGGAGCUAGGGGAAUGAUAUCGUGAAGAGAUGAGGCACAAUUGACCCCAAGCAUAGAACUGGAGCAGCUAACGUUUAAAUAUAUGCUGCAUAAAUAGACACCCAUGGGAAACGGGCACACAAUUGCUCAGGCUGAUUUUCUGUUUUCUGAUUUGAUGAUCUUUCUCCUUAGUAUAUUCAGAACCACAUUGUUCCUCAAGCUGAUUAUGAUCCCUCCCCUCAGACUCCAGAGCUGCAAGAGCAUUUCAAUCUCUCUUACUUGUCUUGACAAAAAUCAGUUCAUUAAAGAAAGAGAGGUCCCUUGAAAAAGAUGCAUAACAUUCAGUGUAGUGAGUACUUCAAGGUGGGGUGGGGGGGAACCUACAGGAACACUGUUUACCUUCUGAAACACGAAAACAAACACCUCAUCAAUUAAAACUGAGGGUAUAUCUCUUUCAAGGGUAUCCUAAGAAGUAACUUAAUAAGAAGGAAUUUAGGAAUAUUCCAAGGGGAUAACGGCUGUAUGUGGUUCUGGCGUGCUCUAUGCUUUGGGUAUAAACACUCACAAAACAUCCAAGCUUGAUAAAGGAGGAAAAUAUUUGAAAUCAAAGCUUAAAAAAUGCCUUUUCAUUGUGCAGAUUGCAGUUCUAUACAUGAAGUUAUGAUUUUCAUAAAUAAGGAAAGAAUGAAUGAUCAAGUUGUUAAGUCUAGGGAACAUAUUUUGUAAACUAGUGAGCAUAUAAAUAGUUGUAUUAAAGUCUUUGCCAAUCAGGUUGUCAAACUGAAAUUUCUACAGUCAAAACUUUAGUUCUAUAUCGACAGCAUUUUUACAAGUUGGCAAAUAUAGGAUUCAUCCAAAGCCUGGUGAAAUCAGCGAGCGCUUUCACGGGCUCCAAUAAGGAAUUUAACACGAUAUGCUUCAUAAUGCAAAUGACACAGUGUUCUCAACACCUACUUCUGCAAAACUGCUUGAAGCUUUAUAAUAAAAAUGGAUUAUUUUCAGCUUAGAAAGCAUGUUAAAAAAUUCAAAGUUUCACAGAGACUCCAAAUGCAUGUUUUUCAACACAAUGUUCUUAAAAAUUGUGUACAUUUAUCUACGAGAAAAAACAGCUAACAAGUAGGCCAGAGAACCAGGAGUCAGGAAACCCAGGUUGGGUUCAAUCCUGUAUGUGAUUUUGCGAAAAAUGCUCUGUUCUCCUGUGAUGCAAAUGAUUUCAAAAUGCCAUAGGCAUGCUCCCCUCCAGCACUUGCAGCGCAAAGGUUCUUCUACUAACAAAAUCUGUAAAAAACAUACGCCAAACUUAAAAAUUAAACUUCUUUCUUCAGUGAUCUGCAAUCCAGGACACAGUUUUGCAGAAGAAAUGCUGGACUGGAAUAUUGAAAAGUAGCAGUAAGAAUUGGCGAUAAGGUCUCUUGCUCUCACACAAGAAAGUGUUUGCAGAUAAACCCCACAGCUGAUGUGAAGGGCAACUGAGUCCAGGACCCAGAGGUUCCCUGCCUGCUCCACUUAGUGGCUGUCCAGCUCACAGCCUGACCCUACACCAGUCCUCCCAGAAAGAAGGCAGCUUCCCCAGAGGAAACAACCCCUUCGAUGGUUCAGGGGCCAGGCAAGGCCUUGUUCGAAGGUUUCUGAUGUUAUAUAAACAGCUAAAAAAAAGCCCAAAGAAUACAGUGUUUAUUUUACAAUAAAACAUGUCAUUUUUGAGUUCGAUAAUAAAAAAGUUAGUGCUAUGUAAUAACUGAACAAUUUACCAUGAUGGCUUUCCCAUUAUUCUCUGCAUUUUCAGCCUGUAAGGUCUCUCGGGCUUGUUAUUUUUUCAACAUUGCUCAGGAAAAUUUCAUACCGAGACGUGAAGAAUGAUGGUACUUUAGUUACUAGACUUAGCACAUUUUGCAGAAUGCUUUCCCAUUCUCAGCCCCUUCUGAACUCCUCUUAGGUCACGCCUGGCUCGCGAGCAGGACGGAGGGUUUCAGGCACAACUCCUGGGCAUGAUGAAUAUUUUGGCUCGGCCACCAAACCAAACCAUUUUCAGAAAACAAAGAGUGAGAUGAAAUCAAGAUAAAAGCGUGGUGAGGGCUGUUUUCUUUUCCUGAGGGGAGGAAGCAGAAGGCCCUGGUUCACACGGAAUCAGAAACACAACUUUCAUUCCGCUUGGAGACCUUUAACAAGAGCAAGCACAGAAGUUAAAAGCCAGAGCUCACACAGCACCCACGAUGGUGGGAGAACACGGCGCGCUCUGACCGACCCGCUGUGCUCGCCUCGAGCGCGAGAGGGCCGGGCUCCCUCUGCCUGAUGCAAACCGCAGAUUUAGGAGCUCGCGGGCUACGGGCUACGCGAGUUCAAAUCCUGCCCUCAGAAUACCUGAAUUCCAGUUUCCCCCCCGUCACCGGUAAGUGCUCGGAGCACCUGAGUGUUGAAUAGAAAGCAUGGAAAGGCACGACACCUCCCUCGCUUUGUAAAUCGAAUAUUUCUCCCUGCAAAGCUCAUGAGCUGAAAUCAAUCCUUAAAUUUUAUCAGUGGUUUUGGGUUAAACAACAACUCAGGUAGGUUCUGAAAGCACGAGGGAGGAUUGCUAUAGGUUUGCAUGGCUCUAAGUAUGCAAAACCCUGUAGCUACAUUUUAUGCAUAGUCUAUUUACAAAAUAUUUCUGAUGUGUAUUAGUUUAUCUUGCUGCAAAAAUCAGAUGCGUUUGCUAUAAAACUAAGUCAUUAGUGAAAUGAGCACUUACGCUACUGGCUAGACGAAACACUGAAGGGAGGGAGCAACUACAAACCAGAACGUUGCCCUACAGUUACCUCUUGUUUUUUUUUUUAAUUCCCUUCACCAAAGCCAUCCCGUGCUCUGCUUGUGGGCAGUCUGGGAACCCCACCAAUAAAACCACCAAAACAACAACACCAAAAAAUAUCUAAGAAACCCCACCCUUCAAUACACAAAAAUAAAUAAACCUUUUCUCAUCGUACGCAAGCUGCCAA